UCCGGAUAAACCCCUUAAUUUAUGCGAAAUUGCUGAACAUUUCUUCCAAUUCGCAAUUUGGUAACAUCCCAGAACAAAGAACAGGAACUCUGUGCAAUGGCAUUAAAGCUUGUGACAUUGCAUCGUUCUUCCUGCGACAUUU